GAAUCUGCAUGGGUGAGAGUAGAAUGUGGAGAUACGGGUAAGCAUAUCACAGUGCUAGGCAGCAGAAGCGGAAAUAAAAGUACAAGCAAGCUAAAUUCCAGCAGACCCUACGGGCAAUCAAUCACAUCAUAUGUCCUGGUUCCGCCUCCCUUCAUCCUCCGCACCCACCAGAGGGCUCACUCUAAUUGGCCCUUAAAGUCCAAGGACCCAGAAUGCAAUGCACCCUUGCAUUAGUUACCUAUAGAGAAGCAAGAAAAGACUCACCUACCUUGGAAGUAUACUUCUAUGAAUGCAACCUUAAUUUAUAUCAGCCUGGUGGUAUAAGAGAGCAUCUUGGAGGGAUAAGUCUAUGAAAUUAGCUUGUCAUAUAACAAGAAACUUCCCCAGUGCUUGGAGCUGUGGGGCCUGCUUCUCUCUGAGGAAUGCUGAAAGAAUCUUAAGAACACAAGAGCGAGGGCCAUGUGCGUUUCCUAUUAAUGAGUGCUGCCUGCACUCAGGUUACACAGCCGUGCUCUUGGAUGAAUUUCAAUGUUUUGAUCCUUUUUAAGAAAGCAACUGAAGCUAUCCCAGUUAUGAAUUCUGAAAUACCCCUUUGCGUCCAUUGGGGUGGGGAAGCUGAUUGGGUCACUGUGUUAUCAUCCCUCAUAUCUCCCAGCAGACCUGCAUAAGUAAAACCACAUUUCUGCUUUCUAGCCUUCCAGGUAUCAAGACAUGGGACCAUCGGGCUGGCUGGGGAAGCAACAUGAGGUGCACUGUCAGACUUGGAAACCACAAACUAAGCAAGUGCCAUGAGACUGGGAGCUCGAGACCAUGCAGGCUGCCAGCCAGAAAGGCAGAGGAAAUGGCUUUCCUGAUGUUUUCAGGUAGGCCCCCAAAAUGUCUCCUAGUUGCCUCAAUUAGAUGCAUUUGUAACACAGUGGGAUGCACGAGAGGCUCUCAUUCACGCUUUAUACACAGCCCCACGCUCUCAUGCAGCAGUACGGGCAAGCCAGUCCCAGUUUUGCUGACGUACAGCUGGCCUGACAGCUCUACCAUCCCAGGGCAGAGAAGUUGA
rnacentral:lncRNA from 1 species